UACGUAGGGGGCGAGCGUUGUCCGGAUUUAUUGGGCGUAAAGAGCUCGUAGGCGGCUUGGCAAGUCGGGUGUGAAACCUCCAGGCUCAACCUGGAGACGCCACUCGAUACUGCCAUGGCUAGAGUCCGGUAGGGGACCACGGAAUUCCUGGUGUAGCGGUGAAAUGCGCAGAUAUCAGGAGGAACACCGGUGGCGAAGGCGGUGGUCUGGGUCGGCACUGACGCUGAGGAGCGAAAGCGUGGGUAGCAAACAGG
rnacentral:rRNA from 1 species